rnacentral:rRNA from 1 species
GCCGGAGGUUACUGCUAUUGGGAUUCGAUUUAGCCAUGCGAGGCGAGAGUCUUUAAGGACUCGCCGAACUGCUCAGUAACACGUAGUCAACCUACCCUCAGGGUGGGGAUAACCCCGGGAAACUGGGACUAAUAUCCAAUAGGGGAUUAGUACUGGAAUGUCUUUUCCCUGAAACGUUACGACACCUGAGGAUGGGACUGCGGUUGAUUAGGUAGUUGGAGGUGUAAUGGACCUUCAAGCCUAUAAUCAGUACGGGCGUUGAGAGACGGAGCCCGGAGAUGGACUCUGAGACACGAGUCCAGGCCCUACGGGGUGCAGCAGGCGCGAAACUUUUACAAUGCCUUAACGGGUGAUAAAGGAAUCCCAAGUGCUCUAGCAUAGCUAGGGCUUUUACGUAGUGUAAAAAGCUAUGUGAAUAAGUGGUGGGAAAAACGGGUGCCAGCCGCCGCGGUAAUACCCGUGCCACAAGUGGUAACCAUGAUUAUUGGGCCUAAAGCGUCCGUAGCCGGCCGGAUGGGUCUUCGGUGAAAUCCUACGUUAGAACGUAGGGCAUGUCGAGGAAACUAUCUGGCUUGGGACCGGGAGAGGCCGGGGCUACUUCAGGGGUAGUGGUAAAAUACUGUAAUCCUUGAAGGAGCACCUGUGGCGAAAGCGCCCGGCUGGAACGGCUCCGACGGUGAGGGACGAAAGCCUGGGGAGCGAAGGGGAUUAGAUACCCCCGUAGUCCAGGCCGUUAACGAUGCCCGUUUGGUGUAGCGUUUCCUAUGGGGAAGCGCUGUGCCGUAGCGUAGGUGUUAAGCGGGCCGCCUGGGGAGUACGUCCGCAAGGAUGAAACUUAAGGGAAUUGGCGGGGAAGCACCACAAGCGGUGGAGGCUGCGGUUUAAUUGGAUUCGACGCCAGGAAAGUUACCAGCGCUGACAGCAUGAUGACGGUCACUCUGAAGGGGUUACCUGAAGCGCUGAGAGGAGUUGCAUGGCCAUCGUCAGCUCGUACUGUGAAGCGUCCGGUUAAGUCCGGUAACGAGCAAGACCCGUAUUCUUAGUUGCUAUCUCGUCCUCUGGGAUGGGAGCACUCUAAGAAGACUGCCCUCGAUAAGAGGGAGGAAGGUGCGGACGACGGUAGGUCAGUAUGGCCCGAAUGCGCUGGGCUACACGCGGCCUACAAUGGUCGGGACAAUGAGCUGCCACUCCGAAAGGAGGAGCCAGUCUCGAAACCCGAUCUUAGUUCGGAUCGAGGACUGAAACCCGUCCUCGUGAAGUCGGAAUCGCUAGUAAGCGAGGGUCAUCAUCUCUCGCUGAAUACGUCCCUGCUUCUUACACACACUGCCCGUCAAACCAUCCGAGUGGGAUCUUGAUGAGGCCCAGGUAAUUUACUUGGGUCAAAUCAGGAUCCCGCAAGGAGGGUU